GCAAACUUGGUCAUUUAGAGGAAGUAAAAGUCGUAACAAGGUUUCCGUAGGUGAACCUGCGGAAGGAUCAUUAUUGAAUAAAUUUGAACAGGCUGUUGCUGACUUCCUUGGGAGUAUGUGCACGCUUGUCAUCUUAUUUCUCCAACUGUGCACAUAUUGUAGACCUGAGGUUUUUUACUACCUAUGUUGUGUGAUUGAGGACUGCUGUGCUGUGCUUUGCAAAGUCAGCUUUACCUUGUAUUAUCAGGUCUAUGUUAUUUCACAACCUCGAUUAUGUUUUAGAAUGUUGAAUUGGGUCUUAUGUACCUGUAAAGUUAAAUAUACAACUUUCAGCAACGGAUCUCUUGGCUCUCGCAUCGAUGAAGAACGCAGC
rnacentral:misc_RNA from 1 species